GGUGAGGUCCGGGUUGGCUCAGCACCGGCGAAGGCGCAAUCGUUGCGCGAGCCGCCGAUUUAUGGGGUGUCGACUGGCGUUGCACGGACGGCAUACACAGCGGUCGCAUGAUGAACCCAGCAGCCUCGACGUUGCCGGGGAGGAAGUUGCUGUGUGAAUCGGCGAUUCGUGGAACACUGAGGCAACCUCUCGUGAGCCAUCAACGUUGAAGCUGGCCGGAGAUGGUUCGAAGUACCGGCUGUAGAGCAAUCGUUGCGCGAACUGCCGGAACUUGGGCCGGCGGUGGCAUCUGGAGAUCAUCGGGCGUGCGGCGUGAGAGGGGCGGCGCCUAGG
rnacentral:lncRNA from 1 species